rnacentral:rRNA from 1 species
GUAGGGUGCAAGCGUUAAUCGGAAUUACUGGGCGUAAAGCGUGCGCAGGCGGCUUUGCAAGACAGAUGUGAAAUCCCCGGGCUUAACCUGGGAACUGCAUUUGUGACUGCAAAGCUAGAGUACGGCAGAGGGAGAUGGAAUUCCGCGUGUAGCAGUGAAAUGCGUAGAUAUGCGGAGGAACACCGAUGGCGAAGGCAAUCUCCUGGGCCUGUACUGACGCUCAUGCACGAAAGCGUGGGGAGCAAACAGGAUUAGAUACCCUGGUAGUCCACGCCCUAAACGAUGUCAACUGGUUGUUGGACGGCUUGCUGUUCAGUAACGAAGCUAACGCGUGAAGUUGACCGCCUGGGGAGUACGGCCGCAAGGUUGAA